rnacentral:rRNA from 1 species
AUUGAACGCUGGCGGCAUGCUUUACACAUGCAAGUCGAACGGUAACAGGCCGCAAGGUGCUGACGAGUGGCGAACGGGUGAGUAAUGCAUCGGAACGUGCCCAGUCGUGGAGGAUAACGCAGCGAAAGCUGCGCUAAUACCGCAUACGAUCUAUGGAUGAAAGCGGGGGACCGUAAGGCCUCGCGCGAUUGGAGCGGCCGAUGUCAGAUUAGGUAGUUGGUGGGGUAAAGGCUCACCCAGCCAACGAUCUGUAGCUGGUCUGAGAGGACGACCAGCCACACUGGGACUGAGACACGGCCCAGACUCCUACGGGAGGCAGCAGUGGGGAAUUUUGGACAAUGGGCGCAAGCCUGAUCCAGCAAUGCCGCGUGCAGGAAGAAGGCCUUCGGGUUGUAAACUGCUUUUGUACGGAACGAAACGGUCCUGGUUAAUACCUGGGGCUAAUGACGGUACCGUAAGAAUAAGCACCGGCUAACUACGGGCCAGCAGCCGCGGUAAAAC